rnacentral:rRNA from 1 species
AGAGUUUGAUCAUGGCUCAGAGUGAACGCUGGCGGCAGGCCUAACACAUGCAAGUCGAACGGCAGCACAGGAGAGCUUGCUCUCUGGGUGGCGAGUGGCGGACGGGUGAGGAAUAUAUCGGAAUCUACCCUUUCGUGGGGGAUAACGUAGGGAAACUUACGCUAAUACCGCAUACGAACUGAGGUUGAAAGCGGCGGACCGCAAGGCGUCGCGCGGAUGGAUGAGCCGAUAUCCGAUUAGCUAGUUGGCGGGGUAAAGGCCCACCAAGGCGACGAUCGGUAGCUGGUCUGAGAGGAUGAUCAGCCACACUGGAACUGAGACACGGUCCAGACUCCUACGGGAGGCAGCAGUGGGGAAUAUUGGACAAUGGGCGCAAGCCUGAUCCAGCCAUGCCGCGUGUGUGAAGAAGGCCUUCGGGUUGUAAAGCACUUUUGUUGGGAAAGAAAAGCGGUCGGUUAAUACCCGGUCGUUCUGACGGUACCCAAAGAAUAAGCACCGGCUAACUUCGUGCCAGCAGCCGCGGUAAUACGAAGGGUGCAAGCGUUACUCGGAAUUACUGGGCGUAAAGCGUGCGUAGGUGGUUUGUUAAGUCAGAUGUGAAAGCCCCGGGCUCAACCUGGGAAUUGCAUUUGAUACUGGCAGACUAGAGUGCGGUAGAGGAGAGUGGAAUUCCCGGUGUAGCAGUGAAAUGCGUAGAGAUCGGGAGGAACAUCAGUUGCGAAGGCGGCUCUCUGGACCAGCACUGACACUGAGGCACGAAAAGCGUGGGGGAGCAAACAGGAUUAGAUACCCUGGUAGUCCACGCCCUAAACGAUGCGAACUGGACGUUGGGUGCAAUUGAGCAUUCAG